rnacentral:rRNA from 7 species
UUUGGUGGCUUAGCGGUGUGGAACCACCUCUUCCCAUUCCGAACAGAGAAGUUAAACACACCAGCGCUGAUGAUACUUGGACCCAAUCCGGUCCUGGGAAAGUAGGCCGCCGCCAGUA